UACGUAGGUGGCAAGCGUUGUUCGGAAUUAUUGGGCGUAAAGGGCGCGUAGGCGGUUUGUUAAGUCGGUCGUGAAAGCCCGGGGCUCAACCCCGGAGGGUCGACCGAUACUGGCAGACUAGAGUACAGAAGAGGUAACUGGAAUUCCCGGAUGUAGCGGUGAAAUGCGUAGAGAUCCGGAAGCAACACCGAUGGCGAAGGCGAGCCCCCUGGGCCCGACACUAGACGCUGCCAUGCACGAAAGCGUGGGGAGCAAAC
rnacentral:rRNA from 1 species